rnacentral:lncRNA from 1 species
GUAGAUUCUCUAUAACUAAAGCUCAAAAAGUAGUAAAGAAAAGAAAAAAAAAGGAAGGAAAAAGAAAUAAAAGAAAGGAUUACAUGAUAGAAUUUUUAGGCUAAAAUGGGUGGGUUUGGGGUGGGAUAAAUUGAUAGCAUUCCUUAAAGGAUUUUCUUGGCAGCUGCAUGGAGCAAGAUCAAUCCCACAAAUAUCAGCCAACCUGAUGAGAUAGAGCAGCACAUCAGAGAGCUCUUCUCCUAGAUGCUCCUUAUCCGANNNNNNNNUUUGGCAAUCCUUUC